ACGCUUCCUGCGGGGUGGCACUGCCUGAGAUGCUGAUAAAGCAAACCCGUUGAACCUGAACCGGUUAGUACCGGCGUAGGAACAGGACACUCAGCCUCA
rnacentral:ncRNA from 2 species